UACGGAGGGUGCGAGCGUUGCUCGGAGUUAUUGGGCGUAAAGCGUACGCAGGCGGCUCGGUAAGUCGAGUGUGAAAUCCCGAGGCUCAACCUCGGACGUGCAUUCGAUACUGUCGGACUAGAGUCCGGAAGAGGCAAGUGGAAUUCCCGGUGUAGCGGUGAAAUGCGCAGAUAUCGGGAGGAACACCAAUGGCGAAGGCAGCUUGCUGGGACGGUACUGACGCUGAGGCGGCGAAAGCGUGGGGAGCAAACAGG
rnacentral:rRNA from 1 species